CCGCACACACCGGCCGCGGGAGCGGAGGCCUCAGUACGACACCGCCUCCCUCCGCGCACGCACGCGGGACCGCGACUCCGGACCGAGGACACCCGACGACGGAGGUCGCCGCCGACCUCCGAGAGCACCCGGGAGUCCGACCGCGGAUCGGGAAGAGACGGCGCGAGGUAGCGAGAUCGGACAGAGCACGCGGUGGGACCCGCGACAGGGUGUUCGAGUGCGGAGCUGGGGGCACCCGGAAGGGGUCCCUCGAUGGGGCCGGUCGAUAGGGCCUCCGCUCCCAGCCCGGUGGGCCCCGCGGUUUGCCGUAGGUAGUCGCGCCUACGGACCUCGUAAAGAAGAACCGGACGGUUUUAUUGCCCCGGCCACGUGGCGCGGACUCGUAAACCUGCCCGAUCGCCGUGGUCCCCUUGGUCCUCCUGUCGGCUGGUCGUUAGCGGGUCGUCGAGUAGUCGUCGGGGUCGCGAGGAGCCCUAGGAACCCGGAGGUGCCGACUCGAGGGAGAAGAGCAGCGAGAUGGGACGACCCGGACGGGACUAGGUGGAAACGCCGCGAGGACCAUCGACGCGGUCUCGGGGACCGGGAUCUGGAUCUGGGAAGCGGUGGCGACACCCUCCUGGAAAAUGAGUUCCUACCAGUUCGUCAACUCGCUGGCCUCGUGUUACGCCGGCCAACCCGGGCAGCAACAGCCCAGGCCCGCUGCCAGCUCCCCUGGCGAACCCCUGCAGGCUGCGUCGCCCGCGGGCCACGCCGGGCCCGACUAUUACAACCCCAACGCCGCCGCGGCCACGGGGUAUCCGACCCCGUGCUACUCGCCUCAGCAGCACUAUCCUCAGCAUCCCUAUGCGGCACCCGCGGCCGGGAUGCAGCACGCGGCCCCCACAGGGAUGAUCGACUACACCCAGCUGCAACCCCAGCCUAGGCUCAAUGCCACCGCGACCUCCCAGCAACACCUGCACGCCCAACAGGCCCAGCACCACCCGCAGCCGCCGCCGCAGCCCCAGGCUCAGCAACACCAUCCCCAGCAGCUGCAUCCCGAUCCUGCCGCGCCCUUGCUGCAGGCCGCGGCCGCCACCUCUGCGCCCUCCACCUCCAGCUGCAAGUACGCGGACUCGACCUCUUCCACCGGGGUCGCCUCGCCCCAGGACCUCACGACCUCCACCUCCAGGAACAGCCCCACGCCCCUCGUGGCCCCUGGGACCAGCAAGAGCGCCUCCGGUCUCACCUCGCCCCCGGGGGCUUCGUCCAGGUCCUCCGUCGCUGCGGCUACCGCCGCGUCUCCUGGUGGUACCAACCCCAGGGGGGUCUCCGAAGGCAGUUCCGCCCUCGCCUCGGCUUCCGCUGCGUCCUCGCCGGCAUCCUCCACGUCCAGCACCUCCAGCACCGGGAACAACUCCUCCAACAAGGGCAACGCUUCCGGCAACAACCCGCCGCAGAUCUACCCCUGGAUGAAGAGGGUCCACAUCGGACAGAGUACCGUCAACGCCAACGGCGAGACCAAGCGACAGAGGACCUCGUACACGAGGUACCAGACUCUGGAGCUGGAAAAGGAGUUCCACUUCAAUCGGUACUUGACGAGGCGGCGACGCAUCGAGAUCGCCCACGCACUCUGCCUGACCGAGAGGCAGAUCAAGAUCUGGUUCCAGAACCGGCGGAUGAAGUGGAAGAAGGAGCACAAGAUGGCCAGCAUGAACAUCGUGCCCUACCACAUGUCGCCGUAUGGCCACCCUUACCAGUUCGCGCCGCACCCUGGCCAGUUCGCGCAUUUGGCCACAUAGGACGAGUUCUCGCCCGCCGAGCUCGGAGCACACGCAGUCCGGUUCCCCGGGAUGUACGGCGAGCAGAACUUCUAGGCUACUUCGAACCGUCUCGAGCCGAUUCGAGCCGAUUCCGAUCGGUCCCCAGGACCCCGCCAGAAGGAUCCUGGCGGACUCGAGGACGAGAACGAAGCAUUUCGUCGACACUUCGGGCCGAUCCGCGAAAUAGGGAUCCAAUGAUCCGCAAGAUAGGACCUAACAAUCGUCCGGAACUGCCGAAGAGCUCGCCGACGUCCUCGACACGCAUUAACUGUGCUGGAGACCUUGACGCUCUUCGGCUCUUCUUGGCUGGAUCUUCAAGAUCUCCUUGGCUUUUGAAGUGACCAGACGAGCCCGAGGUGGCGACGAAGUGCGAGCUCUUCUCAAGCGAGCAUUCGAAGCUGAAGCCGAAAUUUCUGCGAAGUGAGCCGUGCGCCCGACGUGAAAGAAAGAGACUGGACGCGCUCCGAGGGGCCUGCCACAAUUACAAACGAUAAAUUAAAAAUCCGUGGCCAAGCCUUCUCGGCGGACGAGAUGAUCGAAUACCCCUAGACUCUGCGCGCCGUUUCCCGCGUCGACUUCCACCGGAGGUGCGAGGACUCCUCGUGAUCGGUGAAAUGUCUCACCCGAUUCCCUAUUCUCCUGGAUCUCUGGUUAAGGACGCCGAGAGGCUCCUCCCAGGUGAGGUCCACGUAGAAACGUGAAUUCGAUCCCGGAAACCUAUUAUGUCCUCCCUUAGUUGCAUAAGAGACCUGCUAAUGCUCAAAGUGUACUUGACUGUGGCUCGCCGAGUUCCGGUGGGUUUCCAAAAGAAAAGAAUAUUUCUAAAUCAUCUUUUCCUAGGAAUUAUCAAAUCUCUGGUACGACAGACGGAGGAAGGUGACGUUCUCCAUUGAUACAAUUUAUUUCUGGACCUCUGAGUUUUUGGCUUCGGAGUCAGAGAUGAAUGGCGAACGAUAUCCGUCGAGGUUCGAGACGGAGUCACUUCUUCUUUUUGUUAUUGUUAUAUUCUUUCUCGCCGCGCUAUUCGCGAAUUGCGGAAACCCCUUGGCAACUCAGCUGACGGAACAUCGUCGUUCGGGUCGUUUGACAUCUCCCGCACUCGGACGCGCAAAGUUCGGAAUAGCGAUCUCGUGAAUUCCUCUCUCAAGGACAGGGAGAUAUUAAUUGUGUCUGGGCAAAAAUCAGAAAUGCCAUUUACCGCAACAAUUGCAACUAAAUAAUUCCUCCGACACCUCGCGAAGGUACUCUAAAUAAAUUCUUUUUCCACGUUAAUUGUCCGAAGUUACAUAACCUCCAGACGCAAUGAUCUCACCAAACACGCGGACGAGCUUUUCCGAAAUUUGCAACCACCGCCAAGACGAGCUACCGAGUCCCCGGAAGCUCUCUGUAAAUAGUGUGCACCUCGCGUCGUAACCCGAGGUCUCCCCAGGAGUGCACCGUUAAAAAUAACUGGCUCUGAUUAAAAGGACAUACCGAUAGCGAUUACCCCUCCCGAGGUCUAUAUCGCUGCAGAAUCAAUUACCGAAGUCCCUGGAAAAGUAUCUCGAGGGCGCGAAAUUCCUGGAAAAAUAUUCCGGCGGUGCAGAAAUGCCCGGGCUAAUUUUUCCAGAAAUUUAAAGGAUGCUGAACGAGCAGGAGAGGGUCUGUUCAGGACCCUUGCGAUAAGUGCUGUCUCCAUGCGAGGCGAAUUAAGGUGGGCGGUUAUUUUUAACAGGUCGUCUAUACCUGGCGUAGGUGCAGGUGUAUUUGUGCGCAUAAUUGGUUAAUAAAUUCGGCAGCAAAUCGCCCGUUAGCUGGUAAAUGGGCCGCAGUUGUGUAAAUUAGCUGGCGAGGUGGGGCGCGCAUGCGCGGCCCUCUCUCGUGUAAUUGGAUAUAUUUCUUGUGAUACGGAAAAGAGCCGUCGCGACGCCGGGUUCAGUUUUGACGAGGUUGUGCGACACGAGGAAGCAAAUUCGGAGGCAUACAGGGAUAUCCAAGUAUAUACAUAUAUAAAUAUAUAUAUUACGUGUAACGAGGAGCCGAACGAACGGGGAGGUGCGGAGGUUUUAACGAGAUGUCGCGAAUUGUACAUACAUAUGAUUAUCGGGUAUACGAGAGCGCGAUUAUAUAUGCCAUGUUAUAUAUUGUACGAGGCGUUUCGGAAACGACGGAGGUCCGUGGCCUCCUCGGAGAUUCCUGGUGAAUUCCGAGCGGCGUGUGCACUCGGAAACGCGAAUAAUCCGAUUACGGGGAGGGAAAUAUGUACUUACCGCGCGUACUUACGAGGAGAUUACCCCGGGAAAUUUGAAAGUGCAGGAGCGUGGUAACGCUUUGCCCGUCGCGCGGGAUAAGUUCGCGUUUAUCUUUAGCCCUCUAUAAAAUCCCCGCAGAAAAUUUCCGACUGUUGUUCGCAAUGCUUAGAUACUUCGCAAGGGUAUUAUUCAGCGUAUUCAGAGAUACUUGUGACUUUUUACACGGUGGAGAACAACCCAGUCUGCGAUUCCUCGUUUUGCACGUUAAGUUAAUCCAAGCCGCGAACCGGUGUGCAUUUUGCGACCGGCUGCAACUUGUACAGUGUUAAUUAAUUAACGUUAACGACGGGGACAUUUCCGCGUUGGUAAGAUGCCGAAGAGAGUCGCGGAACGCCUCGGUUCUCCGUUUCAUGCACCCAGGGAACACGUCGAAAUGAUAUGCACUUUUGAUAUGCAGUCAAGCCGAGCGGUUUGCAACGCAACGAAGCGUCGAUUUCCGCGGCCGGGAAAAUCGCAGAAGUGAACCGUGGGAUGCGGAAAUCUCCGAUUUUGGGCCCCGCAGAGUCGGCCAGAGUUCCGCUGCGUUCUUCAAGAUCGGGAUCUUCUACUUCUGCGGAUUUUGCAAAUCGAGUCCAUUUUCUCGACCUCUCUAUCCCGGGGAUUAUUUCAUUCUCCGUUGUUCAACACACGCGGGGAGGGAAUUUCUUUUUUUUUUUAAUUCGUAAUCAAAAUAUAUAUCAUGUCCUGAUAUAUUUCGAUUAUCACACAAUGUUAUCCUUCUCCUGCAGGUGUAAAAACAUUUUGUUUCAAUCCAGUCCCUUUAUCCAAUUUUCCUCCCCUUGAAGAUAAGCAACGCGAGGAGCGAGCGAGCGAAUCUCUUGGAAACAUACGAGGGCGUCUUGACCUACUGAGAUUAUUUAUAUUAAAUAUCGUUAUAUCGACCCCCCCCCCCUGCAGGUCGAUACAUCCGAUAUUCGCGUAAAGAUAGACUGAUUCCUCGUCCCUCGUGGAACCCCCGCGUCCUGAGACGAAGAGAAAUACUCCCACGAGAUGAUAACGCGUAUUCGGUGAGGAAGUUCUUUCUUCGACGCCUGGUACCGUAGACGUAUUUAAACGAUCCAAUAGUAACGACUAUUACUAUUAUUAUUAUAAAUAUAAAUAUAUAUAGAAAAAAUAUAUAUAUACAGAGUGAUUAUGUUGCUAACGACUUGGUCCAGUGUUAAUAUUGUAUUUUAUUUGUUUCGUUAUGAAGUUUUCCUUUUUUCCUCUGUCUCUCUUUCUCUCUCUGUCUCUCUCUCUCUGUCUCUCUCUUUGUUGUUCACGCCGCGUGUCGGUAAAACACGCUCCGUACCUACGAACGUGCAUAAUGAAUUACGUGAGGUCAUGCUCGUACAUCUGUCGCGAGGUCAGCGCACUUUAAUCGGCCAUAUUUCAAAGCUUCGAAGAAAGAACCAGUUUAUGAGCCUCUCUUAUCGGUUGUUUGUUCAUUUCACGUAAAAAAAAAUAAAUAAAUAAAUUUAGAGACUGAAUUUACCCCUUGUCGCGAUAGGUGUACGAGACGCGACCUACGGCCUAAGUUAAGCUAAAGUAUUACGUCCGCGUAGCGUUUUCAAAUGUUACUUCAUUCCAUGUAAUAUACGUAAUAGUCUAACUAAAUACCUACUUACUGCAUCUACGUAUCCUAGAGCACCGUACCGUGUAAGGCCAUAUAAUUAUAUAAUUUAAAUUGUAAUUAUUAAAUGGUAUGCCGUAAA
rnacentral:misc_RNA from 1 species